rnacentral:rRNA from 1 species
AUUGAACGCUGGCGGCAGGCUUAACACAUGCAAGUCGAGCGGAGAUGAGGUGCUUGCACCUUAUCUUAGCGGCGGACGGGUGAGUAAUGCUUAGGAAUCUGCCUAUUAGUGGGGGACAACAUUCCGAAAGGAAUGCUAAUACCGCAUACGUCCUACGGGAGUAAGCAGGGGAUCUUCGGACCUUGCGCUAAUAGGUGAGCCUAAGUCGGAUUAGCUAGUUGGUGGGGUAAAGGCCUACCAAGGCGACGAUCUGUAGCGGGUCUGAGAGGAUGAUCCGCCACACGGGGACUGAGACACGGCCCAGACUCCUACGGGAGGCAGCAGUGGGGAAUAUUGGACAAUGGGGGAAUCCCUGAUCCAGCCAUGCCGCGUGUGUGAAGAAGGCCUUAUGGUUGUAAAGCACUUUAAGCGAGGAGGAGGCUACUGAGACUAAUACUCUUGGAUAGUGGACGUUACUCGCAGAAUAAGCACCGGCUAACUCUGUGCCAGCCGCCGCCGUAA